rnacentral:rRNA from 1 species
AGCUGAGAGGUGGUGCAUGGCCGUCGUCAGUUCGUACUGUGAAGCAUCCUGUUAAGUCAGGCAACGAGCGAGACCCACGCCCACAGUUGCCAGCGUACUCUCCGGAGUGACGGGUACACUGUGGGGACCGCCGCUGCUAAAGCGGAGGAAGGAAUGGGCAACGGUAGGUCAGUAUGCCCCGAAUAUCCCGGGCUACACGCGAGCUACAAUGGUUGGUACAAUGGGUAUCUACCCCGAAAGGGGACGGGAAUCUCCUAAAACCAAUCUUAGUUCGGAUUGAGGGCUGCAACUCGCCCUCAUGAAGCUGGAAUCCGUAGUAAUCGCGUUUCAACAGAACGCGGUGAAUACGUCCCUGCUCCUU